rnacentral:rRNA from 1 species
UACAGAGGUGCCAAGCGUUGUUCGGAUUUAUUGGGCGUAAAGGGUGCGUAGGCGGUGAUGCAAGUCGGGUGUGAAAUACUGGAGCCUAACUCCAGAACGGCAUUCGAAACUGCAUCGCUAGAGAACUGGAGAGGUGAGUGGAAUUCUCGGUGUAGCAGUGAAAUGCGUAGAUAUCGAGAGGAACACCAGAGGCGAAAGCGACUCACUGGACAGAUUCUGACGCUGAGGCACGAAAGCUAGGGGAGCAAACGGG